rnacentral:rRNA from 1 species
CAGUCGCCGCGGGAAUACAGAGGAUCCAAGCGUUAUCCGGAAUCAUUGGGUUUAAAGGGUCCGUAGGCGGUCUUGUAAGUCAGUGGUGAAAGCCCAUCGCUCAACGGUGGAACGGCCAUUGAUACUGCAGGACUUGAAUUAUUGGGAAGUAACUAGAAUAUGUAGUGUAGCGGUGAAAUGCUUAGAGAUUACAUGGAAUACCAAUUGCGAAGGCAGGUUACUACCAAUUGAUUGACGCUGAUGGACGAAAGCGUGGGUAGCGAACAGGAUUAGAUACCCCAGUAGUCCCUGUCUCUUAUAC